CGGAGGGUGCAAGCGUUGUCCGGAUUUAUUGGGUUUAAAGGGUGCGUAGGCGGCUUGAUAAGUCCGUGGUGAAAGCCAACAGCUCAACUGUUGAACUGCCAUGGAUACUGUCAGGCUUGAGUACAGACGAGGUAGGCGGAAUGGAUCGUGUAGCGGUGAAAUGCAUAGAUACGAUCCAGAACUCCGAUUGCGAAGGCAGCUUACUAGGCUGUAACUGACGCUGAGGCACGAAAGCGUGGGAGCGAACAGGAUU
rnacentral:rRNA from 1 species